CCUGCGGUAUCUGACGUGCAUUCAAAGUAGAGGAUCUGCAUUUUCAGAUCUCUAUAAAGAUUUAAUUUAGAUUAAUUGAGAUUUAAUCUCUAGUUCUACUAUUAAUUAAGUAAAAAUUUGAUCCUUAUUUAUGUAGAUUAAUAAAAAAAAAAUAGAUGCAAUCUGGGUCAUCCAAAGAGAAACAGUUUUUCUUUCCUUCAAUUGGUAUCAGAGCAGGUUGAAAUACAUAUAUGCAUAUUUGAAUUCUUUUGGAUUAAUUAUGUAAGAU
rnacentral:lncRNA from 1 species